UACGAAGGUCCCGAGCGUUGUUCGGAAUCACUGGGCGUAAAGCGCACGUAGGCGGAUCUUUAAGUCAGGGGUGAAAUCCCGAGGCUCAACCUCGGAACUGCCUUUGAUACUGGGGAUCUCGAGUCCGGGAGAGGUGAGUGGAACUGCGAGUGUAGAGGUGAAAUUCGUAGAUAUUCGCAAGAACACCAGUGGCGAAGGCGGCUCACUGGCCCGGAACUGACGCUGAGGUGCGAAAGCGUGGGGAGCAAACAGG
rnacentral:rRNA from 1 species